AGUGGGGAAUAUUGCACAAUGGGCGCAAGCCUGAUGCAGCGACGCCGCGUGGGGGAUGACGGCCUUCGGGUUGUAAACCUCUUUCAGUAGGGACGAAGCGCAAGUGACGGUACCUACAGAAGAAGCACCGGCCAACUACGUGCCAGCAGCCGCGGUAAUACGUAGGGUGCGAGCGUUGUCCGGAAUUACUGGGCGUAAAGAGCUCGUAGGUGGUUUGUCGCGUUGUCCGUGAAAUCCCACAACUUAAUUGUGGGCGUGCGGGCGAUACGGGCAGACUGGAGUACUGCAGGGGAGACUGGAAUUCCUGGUGUAGCGGUGGAAUGCGCAGAUAUCAGGAGGAACACCGGUGGCGAAGGCGGGUCUCUGGGCAGUAACUGACGCUGAGGAGCGAAAGCGUGGGGAGCGAA
rnacentral:rRNA from 1 species